CCGCCCGUAGCUCAGCUGGAUAGAGUACCGGAUUCCGAUUCCGAUGGUCACAGGUUCGAGUCCUGUCGGGCGGGCCA
rnacentral:tRNA from 1 species